rnacentral:rRNA from 1 species
GUAAGCUACUAAGAGCGAAUGGUGGAUGCCUUGACUGGUAAAGGCGAUGAAGGACGUACUAGACUGCGAUAAGCUACGGGGAGCUGUCAAGAAGCUUUGAUCCGUAGAUUUCCGAAUGGGGCAACCCAAUGUAUAGAGAUAUACAUUACCUAUAUAGGAGCGAACGAGGGGAAUUGAAACAUCUUAGUACCCUCAGGAAAAGAAAUCAAUAGAGAUUGCGUCAGUAGCGGCGAGCGAAAGCGCAAGAGGGCAAACCCAGUGCUUGCACUGGGGGUUGUAGGACUGCAAUGUGCAAGAGGUAAGUUUAGCAGAACAUUCUGGAAAGUAUAACCAUAGAGGGUGAUAGUCCCGUAUGCGAAAAACAAACCUUAGCUAGCAGUAUCCUGAGUAGGGCGGGACACGAGAAAUCCUGUCUGAAGCUGGGUCGACCACGAUCCAACCCUAAAUACUAAUACCAGAUCGAUAGUGCACAAGUACCGUGAGGGAAAGGUGAAAAGAACUGAGGUGAUCAGAGUGAAAUAGAACCUGAAACCAUUUGCUUACAAUCAUUCAGAGCCCUAUGUAGCAAUACAGGGUGAUGGACUGCCUUUUGCAUAAUGAGCCUGCGAGUUGUGGUGUCUGGCAAGGUUAAGCAAACGCGAAGCCGUAGCGAAAGCGAGUCUGAAUAGGGCGCUUAGUCAGAUGCUGCAGACCCGAAACGAAGUGAUCUAUCCAUGAGCAAGUUGAAGCUAGUGUAAGAACUAGUGGAGGACUGAACCCAUAGGCGUUGAAAAGCCCCGGGAUGACUUGUGGAUAGGGGUGAAAGGCCAAUCAAACUUCGUGAUAGCUGGUUCUCUCCGAAAUAUAUUUAGGUAUAGCGUUGUGUCGUAAUAUAAGGGGGUAGAGCACUGAAUGGGCUAGGGCAUACACCAAUGUACCAAACCCUAUCAAACUCCGAAUACCUUAUAUGUAAUCACAGCAGUCAGGCGGCGAGUGAUAAAAUCCGUCGUCAAGAGGGAAACAACCCAGACUACCAGCUAAGGUCCCUAAAUCUUACUUAAGUGGAAAACGAUGUGAAGUUACUUAAACAACCAGGAGGUUGGCUUAGAAGCAGCCAUCCUUUAAAGAAAGCGUAAUAGCUCACUGGUCUAGUGAUUUUGCGCGGAAAAUAUAACGGGGCUAAAGUAAGUACCGAAGCUGUAGACUUGCGCACAACUUAGAUUAUUUAAGUUUAGAAUAUGAGAAACUAAGUUAUAUGUUUAGUUAUAUUUUUACUGAUUUUUAUAGAGUAAAGAUAGAAAUAAAACUUAGUAAAAUCAGUAAAAAUAUUCUUAGACUAAAGUUAAGUAGUUUAAGUUGUGUGCAAGUGGUAGGAGAGCGUUCUAUUUGCGUCGAAGGUAUACCGGUAAGGAGUGCUGGAGCGAAUAGAAGUGAGCAUGCAGGCAUGAGUAGCGAUAAUUAAUGUGAGAAUCAUUAACGCCGUAAACCCAAGGUUUCCUACGCGAUGCUCGUCAUCGUAGGGUUAGUCGGGUCCUAAGUCGAGUCCGAAAGGGGUAGACGAUGGCAAAUUGGUUAAUAUUCCAAUACCAACAUUAGUGUGCGAUGGAAGGACGCUUAGGGCUAAGGGGGCUAGCGGAUGGAAGUGCUAGUCUAAGGUCGUAGGAGGUUAUACAGGCAAAUCCGUAUAACAAUACUCCGAGAACUGAAAGGCUUUUUGAAGUCUUCGGAUGGAUAGAAGAACCCCUGAUGCCGUCGAGCCAAGAAAAGUUUCUAAGUUUAGCUAAUGUUGCCCGUACCGUAAACCGACACAGGUGGGUGGGAUGAGUAUUCUAAGGCGCGUGGAAGAACUCUCUUUAAGGAACUCUGCAAAAUAGCACCGUAUCUUCGGUAUAAGGUGUGGUUAGCUUUGUAUUAGGAUUUACUCCGAAAGCAAGGAAACUUACAACAAAGAGUCCCUCCCGACUGUUUACCAAAAACACAGCACUCUGCUAACUCGUAAGAGGAUGUAUAGGGUGUGACGCCUGCCCGGUGCUCGAAGGUUAAUUGAUGGGGUUAGCAUUAGCGAAGCUCUUGAUCGAAGCCCGAGUAAACGGCGGCCGUAACUAUAACGGUCCUAAGGUAGCGAAAUUCCUUGUCGGUUAAAUACCGACCUGCAUGAAUGGCGUAACGAGAUGGGAGCUGUCUCAAAGAGGGAUCCAGUGAAAUUGUAGUGGAGGUGAAAAUUCCUCCUACCCGCGGCAAGACGGAAAGACCCCGUGGACCUUUACUACAGCUUGACACUGCUACUUGGAUAAGAAUGUGCAGGAUAGGUGGGAGGCUUUGAGUAUAUGACGCCAGUUGUAUAUGAGCCAUUGUUGAGAUACCACUCUUUCUUAUUUGGGUAGCUAACCAGCUUGAGUUAUCCUCAAGUGGGACAAUGUCUGGUGGGUAGUUUGACUGGGGCGGUCGCCUCCCAAAUAAUAACGGAGGCUUACAAAGGUUGGCUCAGAACGGUUGGAAAUCGUUCGUAGAGUAUAAAGGUAUAAGCCAGCUUAACUGCAAGACAUACAAGUCAAGCAGAGACGAAAGUCGGUCUUAGUGAUCCGGUGGUUCUGUGUGGAAGGGCCAUCGCUCAAAGGAUAAAAGGUACCCCGGGGAUAACAGGCUGAUCUCCCCCAAGAGCUCACAUCGACGGGGAGGUUUGGCACCUCGAUGUCGGCUCAUCGCAUCCUGGGGCUGGAGCAGGUCCCAAGGGUAUGGCUGUUCGCCAUUUAAAGCGGUACGCGAGCUGGGUUCAGAACGUCGUGAGACAGUUCGGUCCCUAUCUGCCGUGGGCGUAAGAAGAUUGAAGAGAUUUGACCCUA